rnacentral:lncRNA from 1 species
AAAAUUCUGCCUUGUUGACUUCAGAAUCGUCAAGCACUUUAUGUGAAGCGUGCCCUUAAGCUAUCCUCUACAAGACCCAGACAGCCUGUCCUGUUUCUGGCCGAUCUUGGAUUCUCGCUGAUGGUUGAAUGCAGAGGUACAAGUAGCCAGAUUUGAGUGUCUGCAUGAUGAAGAUGUGAAAGAAGAAACUGAGCGAUAUUGAACAUCACAGGUGAGAUUGAUAAGGGUAAAGAAAGCACAUUAUGAUUACAAAUAAUAGUGUAAGAGAAAAGCCUGAACUGAUCUGUAUUUU